GUGAGAUUCUGUACAUUUUCGUUCUCGUAUGAUAAUUUAACCUCUCGACUGACUGAGAACAGACGCUGUUAAGACACGUUACUGAAAUAUUACUGGUAGCUACAUGUGAUGUCAACAUCCAGUUUUUAACGGACACCCGCUGGACCGAAGGUUUGUCUCUUGGACUUCAAUGAUGGCGUCUCCUGAAGAUUUUAAUCAGCUUGAGUUGUUGAACACACAUGGACAUCUGAUCCCCCGCGGAGCCAGCAGCCUGUGGACCGGGAGCAAAGAGAAUGAUGAUGAAGAGGAGGAGGAGAAUUACAGUGAGGAGUUGUAUCUACAAAAGGAGCAAGCUCUUAAAGAUAAACCAGUGGAGCUCAUUCUGUGGGCAGCAGAACAUAAUCGUCUUUCAACAGUGCAUAGGUUAUUAACAACUGACCCUUUGCUGGUGCACUGCUGUGAUGAGGACGGUUACACUCCCCUGCACCGUGCAGCAUACAGCGGCCAUGCUGAUGUUUGUUCUGCUUUAAUCACUGCGGGCUCUAAAGUGAAUCCCCGCACCAAUGACGGCUGGACACCGCUCCACAGCGCCUGCCGCUGGAGCCGCGUCACUGUGGUGAGUUUCCUCCUGCAGCAUGGAGCUGAACUGAAUGCUCAGACCAAUGGUGGACUCACACCACUGCACCUUGCUGCCUCCAACACCAGCUCCUCCAAAUCAGACUCCGCCCACACCCUCGAGCUGCUCCUCUCUCAGCGUCACCUAAAGGCAGCACUUCGCAGUCACUCUGGGGAGACGGCCAGUGAGGUGGCUCGUCGUAGUGGUCCCCUUCACUUCCUAUUUGAGAUGGUAGAAGACUAUGUCAGUGUGAUUCCAGACACGUGACCACGCACAUUUACGUUUUCAAUCUGGAGAGCAGGCAGAAACAUGGGUGUACCAUGGGGUGUCCAGAAUCUCCCAUAGUGUCCAACCUCUACAUGGAAAAGGUGGAAAGCAGAGCCUUGGCCUCAUUCACAGGACAUGCAUGUACAUGCAAGUUAAGAAUCCUUCAACGUGUGAGGAUGUUAGAGGUCACACCUGGUUUGUGCAGUGCACACUGGAGAAGACAAAAGCCUCAGCAUUGAAGUAUACAGGAAACCAAGACACACAGAACAAUAUAUGCUGUUUGACUCCCACCACCCACUGGAGCACAAACUCUGCAUCAGAACAUUGCACCACUGGGUCACUAACAGAAGAAAGAAACACAUAAAACCUGUGGCUACCCAAACUGGGCCUUCAUCAAAGAUUCCAGAAGAAGAACAACAUCAGACAAGGAAGGAAACUGCAAAAAACUAAAAAGUCCUAAACUUUAUAUUGGGCAAAGCAAACACAUGGCACAGCACAGCUAGCGUACAGGACUCAGCUGUAGGAUGUGAAGAAUGUUUGCAUUCUGGCCAGAGAAGAUGGUUUGAAAGAGGCCUGAAAGAAAUCAUGUAAAAAGUGGACUAAUACACCAACUGUCAGCCACCUACGAGGCUGCCCUGAGCUCUUUUCCAAAAAGAAACAACACAGUUUCAUACCCAUUCACCCACUGCUGGCACAGCCACUGGGAGCAACUGUGACAUGUCGACGAGCAGAGCCAGGGAUUGAACCCACUAUCUUCCAAUCUGUUCCCCCACUGAGUCAUCACCUCCCUGCUGAAUGCGGUUGUGGCAGUAGAACUUGAUGGCACGCCAGUCGCGGUGGUUGCUGACCAGCAGGGGGCACUGUUGGAGGCAGCGCUCACAGUCAGCCUUGGCUGGGACCCGCAGCUCUGUGAUGUUCUGG